AGCUGCUGACGUUUCCAGUUACCAUGGAGGAAGACAGGUAGGAGGAGAUCAUUAUAUGUAUUCUGGCAAAGAGACUUGCAGAGUGCUGGGUGACCGGCAAAGAGAUCUGCAAAGUGUCAGUUGAAGACGACGGGAGGGGUCGCAGAGGUAGCAAGGACUGGAGUAUAACAUGCAGGAGAUCAUCAUUUGGCAAAAGUUCUGGCAAAGAGAUUUGCAGAGUGUCGGGUGACCGGCAAAGAGAUCUGCAAAGUGUCAGUUGAAGACGACGGGCGGGGUCGCAGAGGCAGCAAGGACUGGAGGAUAGCAUGCAGGAGUGGGUGAUCCCUGAAUAGCUGCCCUGGGUGGAGAGCUGUGGACACAUGCGCCAAAUGUUGGGACAUAUGCAUUACCUAUUAGGAGAUGCAGUAAAUAUACCAGCUGUCAGGUUUACGGCAGUCAGAAUACUGACACUGGGAUCCCGACACUCUUCAGAAUCCCGACGUUGGAACUCCGAAUGUGCAAGGAUACUGAUGCCUGUAUCCCCACGA